rnacentral:pre_miRNA from 1 species
UAUCCUAGAUUGCUUUCAAGGUCAUUUCUUUAGAGAACCCCAUUCCCAUAAAUUCAGUAUCCAAAGCUGGUUGCUGUAUCUAUGGGAAUAAGGGUUCCCUAACGAAUUGAUCUUGGACGCAAUCUAGGAGU